UGGCCUAAUGGUUAAGGUGUCUGACUUCCAUUCAGAGGGUCUGAGUUCCUCAG
rnacentral:tRNA from 1 species